UAACGAUGCAAAAUCAAUAAUACAAUUCUAAUGAUAAAAAUAGCAAUAUAUAAUGGGGAUUAUGUAUAUGAGAUUCUUACCUCAAUUAGUGAUAAACUGGACUCAUUAGAUUAUGAUUUAGGUAUCCAAACUAUACUCCAUAUCCUCUCGUCCGAUGGAUUGCUCUCCUAUAUAUUUAAAUUAAUAUUAUAAAAUAAAUUAAAUAAUUCAAUUUAAUUUUUUAGAAUCCUCUAUCGAGGUUUAUCAGGGUCCACACCCCC
rnacentral:lncRNA from 1 species